CAGAUCCCGAUGUCAACCUCAGUGAACACCUCUGGGAUGAACUCAAACACUGACUGUCUCGGGCAGGCAAACACAAGGAAACCCAUGUUCAGAUGCUGUGUCAAAGCAGCAGACAGCAGCAGGUCAUGUCUGGAUGUGUGAGCGACGCGCAGCAUCACUCAGCACAGAGGGACGUAUGGAGGAUCAUCGAAGACAAACCAACAGGAAAGAAAUCCAAAUGCAACCGUCAGUUCUUUUAAAACACCAAAACACAG